rnacentral:misc_RNA from 1 species
UUUCCGUAGGUGAACCUGCGGAAGGAUCAUUAUUGUAUAACCGAGGUGCGAGGGCUGUCGCUGACCCGAAAGGUCGUGCACGCCCGAGUGCCCUCACACACAUCCAUCUCACCCCUAUGUGCACCACCGCGUGGGUCCCCCUUUGGCUUGUUCGGAGGGGGGCUUACGUUUUCACACAAACUUUGUAUGCAGUGUAGAAUGUAUUUUUUGUUUUUGCGAUCACGCAAUCAAUACAACUUUCAACAACGGAUCUCUUGGUUCCG